CCACCUGACGAUGGGCAAAGAGACACUUUAUUGGUAGUGUUGCUCUUCUGUCAACUGAGGCAGAACAAAUGGCAGUCCUUUGUUCAUCCUAGCUUGAUGCUCGCUUGGUGGCCAAACCUGUUUUAUGUCUAGGAUUCAUAA